GGAUCCUUUGAUUCCUUGUUCGUAUAUAAUAUUCUCUUAGUGUUAAAAAGAAGAAGAUAUACUGUACAUUGUGAAUUCGUCAUAUAUUUAUUGACUUCGUUGAUAUUACACAAAAGAUUUUGAAUAAGAGAGAGUUAGGUCACUGGUGUUGGAAACUGAGAUUAACAUGUAAUGACGUUGAAGGUUUAAACCCAUCAUAUCUUUUUGAAUAAUAGAGAGUUAGGUCACUGGUGUUGGGAAUUGAGAUUAAUAUAUAGUGACGUUAUAUCAAUUAAAAUUGCUAAACCUUAGUCGCAAAAAAAAAUUGCUA
rnacentral:lncRNA from 1 species